UUAAGUUAAUAAGGGCGCACGGUGGAUGCCUUGGCACUAGGAGCCGACGAAGGACGUGACAAACGACGAUAUGCCUUGGGUAGCUGUAAGUAAGCGAUGAUCCAGGGAUUCCGAAUGGGGGAACCCAACAGGUAAUACCUGUUACCUACAUCUGUUAAGGAUGUGAGGAGGAAGACGCAGUGAACUGAAACAUCUAAGUAGCUGCAGGAAGAGAAAGCAAAAGCGAUUGCCUUAGUAGCGGCGAGCGAAACGGCAGAAGGGCAAACCGAAGAGUUUACUCUUCGGGGUUGUAGGACUGCAAUGUGGACUCAAAGAUUAUAGAAGAAUGAUUUGGGAAGAUCAGCCAAAGAGAGUAAUAGCCUCGUAUUUAAAAUAGUCUUUGUACUUAGCAGUAUCCUGAGUACGGCGGGACACGUGAAAUCCCGUCGGAAUCUGGGAGGACCAUCUCCCAACCCUAAAUACUCCCUAGUGACCGAUAGUGAACCAGUACCGUGAGGGAAAGGUGAAAAGCACCCCGGGAGGGGAGUGAAAUAGAACCUGAAACCGUGUGCCUACAACAAGUUCGAGCCCGUUAAUGGGUGAGAGCGUGCCUUUUGUAGAAUGAACCGGCGAGUUACGUUAUGAUGCGAGGUUAAGUUGAAGAGACGGAGCCGUAGGGAAACCGAGUCUGAAUAGGGCGCCUUAGUAUCAUGACGUAGACCCGAAACCAUGUGACCUACCCAUGAGCAGGUUGAAGGUGCGGUAAGACGCACUGGAGGACCGAACCAGGGCACGUUGAAAAGUGCUUGGAUGACUUGUGGGUAGCGGAGAAAUUCCAAACGAACUUGGAGAUAGCUGGUUCUCUCCGAAAUAGCUUUAGGGCUAGCGUCGACAUUAGAGAUUCUUGGAGGUAGAGCACUGUUUGGGUGAGGGGUCCAUCCCGGAUUACCAAUCUCAGAUAAACUCCGAAUGCCAAUGAAUUAUGGUCGGCAGUCAGACUGCGAGUGCUAAGAUCCGUAGUCGAAAGGGAAACAGCCCAGACCACCAGCUAAGGUCCCAAAAUAAUUGUUAAGUGGAAAAGGAUGUGGGGUUGCACAGACAACUAGGAUGUUAGCUUAGAAGCAGCUAUUCAUUCAAAGAGUGCGUAAUAGCUCACUAGUCGAGUGACCCUGCGCCGAAAAUGUACCGGGGCUAAAACAAUUUACCGAAGCUGUGGAUACCUUUAUAGGUAUGGUAGGAGAGCGUUCUAUGUGUGAUGAAGGUAUACCGUGAGGAGUGCUGGAACGCAUAGAAGUGAGAAUGCCGGUAUGAGUAGCGAAAGACAGGUGAGAAUCCUGUCCACCGUAAGACUAAGGUUUCCAGGGGAAGGCUCGUCCGCCCUGGGUUAGUCGGGACCUAAGGAGAGACCGAAAGGUGUAUCCGAUGGACAACAGGUUGAUAUUCCUGUACUAGAGUAUGUAGUGAUGGAGGGACGCAGUAGGCUAACUAAAGCAGACGAUUGGAAGAGUCUGUCUAAGCAGUGAGGUGUGAAUUGAGUCAAAUGCUUAAUUCUAUAACAUUGAGCUGUGAUGGGGAGCGAAGUUUAGUAGCGAAGUUAGUGACGUCACACUGCCAAGAAAAGCUUCUAGCGUUUAAACAUACUCUACCCGUACCGCAAACCGACACAGGUAGUCGAGGCGAGUAGCCUCAGGUGAGCGAGAGAACUCUCGUUAAGGAACUCGGCAAAAUGACCCCGUAACUUCGGGAGAAGGGGUGCUGACUUUAAGUCAGCCGCAGUGAAUAGGCCCAAGCAACUGUUUAUCAAAAACACAGCUCUCUGCUAAAUCGUAAGAUGAUGUAUAGGGGGUGACGCCUGCCCGGUGCUGGAAGGUUAAGAGGAGUGCUUAGCGUAAGCGAAGGUAUGAAUUGAAGCCCCAGUAAACGGCGGCCGUAACUAUAACGGUCCUAAGGUAGCGAAAUUCCUUGUCGGGUAAGUUCCGACCCGCACGAAAGGCGUAAUGAUUUGGGCACUGUCUCAACGAGAGACUCGGUGAAAUUUUAGUACCUGUGAAGAUGCAGGUUACCCGCGACAGGACGGAAAGACCCCAUGGAGCUUUACUGCAGUUUGAUAUUGAGUGUCUGUACCACAUGUACAGGAUAGGUAGGAGUCUAAGAGAUCGGGACGCCAGUUUCGAAGGAGACGCUGUUGGGAUACUACCCUUGUGUUAUGGCCACUCUAACCCAGAUAGGUGAUCCCUAUCGGAGACAGUGUCUGACGGGCAGUUUGACUGGGGCGGUCGCCUCCUAAAAGGUAACGGAGGCGCCCAAAGGUUCCCUCAGAAUGGUUGGAAAUCAUUCGCAGAGUGUAAAGGUAUAAGGGAGCUUGACUGCGAGAGCUACAACUCGAGCAGGGACGAAAGUCGGGCUUAGUGAUCCGGUGGUUCCGUAUGGAAGGGCCAUCGCUCAACGGAUAAAAGCUACCCUGGGGAUAACAGGCUUAUCUCCCCCAAGAGUUCACAUCGACGGGGAGGUUUGGCACCUCGAUGUCGGCUCGUCGCAUCCUGGGGCUGUAGUCGGUCCCAAGGGUUGGGCUGUUCGCCCAUUAAAGCGGCACGCGAGCUGGGUUCAGAACGUCGUGAGACAGUUCGGUCCCUAUCCGUCGCGGGCGUAGGAAAUUUGAGAGGAUCUGCUCCUAGUACGAGAGGACCAGAGUGGACUUACCGCUGGUGUACCAGUUGUCUUGCCAAAGGCAUCGCUGGGUAGCUAUGUAGGGAAGGGAUAAACGCUGAAAGCAUCUAAGUGUGAAACCCACCUCAAGAUGAGAUUUCCCAUGAUUAUAUAUCAGUAAGAGCCCUGAGAGAUGAUCAGGUAGAUAGGUUAGAAGUGGAAGUGUGGCGACACAUGUAGCGGACUAAUACUAAUAGCUCGAGGACUUAUCCGA
rnacentral:rRNA from 1 species